rnacentral:lncRNA from 1 species
CCGGGCUCUCGCUCACCCCGCUGCCAGCGGCUCUCCCCUCGCUGUCUCUCUCUCUCUCUCGAGGUGUCGUCCUCGAGCGCCCCUUAUUUCGGCUGGAAUUCCUUUGUGUGGGGUUUAUGGAAGGCAGGAUUUUCUCACGUGUUGAGAGUUUUAGGGAUAUGGUACCUGCCUGCUGGAUUCUUUCUCCCUGUGAGGGAAGGCGUGUCUGCCCACACGGACUGCGGGCAGGCGGAGACGUCCUUCAGCAUGAAACAUUUUGCUUAUUCCGCGAUGAGAGCUGGUGUGAUGACCACUCCACGCUCCCAGCCUUGCUCGGUUAACAGAAGUGACAUCCAGACAUUCCCAGUGGCCCGGGGUGUCCCCGUUUUCCCGGGAGACAGCCGGAACCGAGCCCUGGGCUGAAGGUGAUCUGCUCUGCCCAGAGCAGAGAUGCUGAACUGAAAAUCCUCAGAAAACACAUCAGGGAGGAGAAAAUACAUACAGGUGGAGGAUAAGACGUGGAGAACAGUAUUUAUGGGCAGCAAUUAGCUCUGACCCAGAGGAAAAGCGGGCGAGGUCGGGGUCCCAGCCCAAGGGUGGGGACACAAGGCAGCCCCUGAGAGCGGGGUUUUCUCUCUCUCUCGAAAAAGAGGGUGACUUUUCAGGGAGCUGUCCGAGCCUACGAGGCUUGCAGUGAUGAUGCCCACGCUGGGCCUGAAUCCCCGUUCUUUGUGGAUCCAUGCGGGGUCCUGUCCCCGGGGAGAGGGAACCUCCGUGUUGUCCCAGCCUGGAAGAGCCGUGCGGAGAGCGGGCACUCCGGGAGCCCGGCUGGCCCAUCCCGCUGCUCUCCACUUGCUAAAUUCAUUCCCCAGACACCAUUAGAGCUGCCACUCGAGAGCAGAUGGUUCCCCUCCGUCCCGAGCUUCAUCCCGGACAGAUUGCAUACAAUUUAUUAAUAACCCAACAGAUGCUCGGGCACUUUCCAGCUCAGAUUGUAUUUCCUGAUUGCUCAAAUCCCGGCGGGGGGGAGCUGUUCUUUUAUCUUCCACCGCUCCUCUUUGUGCUUUACCGGCACCGACCCCACAAGGAGGAAAAAGGGAGAAGCACAAAAGCAGCAGGUUGUUUAUCCUACUGA